AGGGUACCAGGUGUGCCCGGGCAUGUGUCGUGAUGAAUGCCAUCCUGACGAGGUGAUGCGGGGAAGAUGCAACCCUGACUUCGUCUGCCUCUGCUGCGUUAAGAACUUAAUGUGAUUGGCCUGCGCGAACCGGCAUGAGUUAUGGAGGAAUAUGUAAGAUGGUGACGAACCUCUCUCUCUCUCUCAUUACACGAAAUAGUCAUGUUUUUUUGCAUUAUGAUCUUAUUGCUCUUGUCCAAGCACUCAAAACUGAAUGCACUCACGCUAAAUAAUCACAAAUUCACUUUUCUCUCUUUGUUGAUGUUAUUUAUAAAAGGUGAGUUUUGACCUUUUGAGAACUAUUGAAAUAAAAACUCUUUCUUUCAA